ensembl:lncRNA
GCCUAAUUCAAUGAAGCAGGUCAUUGGGAAAGUGGCUUUGAAAGUUAUAAGUUGUUUGGUGUCCACUGUCCUCUUCCUUUUGGGCUUUCCUCUCCUUUCUGCUUCCUGGCUUCCAUGAGAAUCUGUUAAAUGCACCUUGGUGUCAGCGAACAAAAUCUUUUUUUUACUUUAGAGUUGCGUGGAUCAGGAGCUGGAUUUUUUCACAUUUACUUCAUUUACAUAUGCAGUUCUUAACUGUAUGCCUCCCGCUCAGGCUGAAUAGAAACAUAUCUCAUGGCAGCUAUGUCCUGAGCUCUUCACACCUACAAGAAAUGUACAAGAGGAAGCCAAAACAUGGGUUUGGAGAAGAAAUGUACCUACCACACCCAGCAACACCUACAAGUCUGGAUGCCCAGCAACCACAAGAAACAUCCUGUACCACAACAGACCUUUCCCUUCCCAAGUUUCAACCUCCCCCCCUCCAGUCAAAACUUUCCACCCUCCCCCGAUGACCUACCUUCCCCUGAUGACCUCUCUUCCCCUACCCAAACCACCCUAUAAAAGUCUCUUCUUGCCCUGCCAUUGCUGUCACCUGUCUUUUCACUCUUGGCCCACCUACACCUAGGCUGAAAUAAACUCCGUUUGUUGCUUUAACUA